rnacentral:rRNA from 1 species
GGUAGCAUAAUCAUUAGUCUCCUAAUUAGAGGCUUGUAUGAAUGGUCGGACAAGAUGGAGACUGUCUCAGCAUUAAAUAUAAAAUCUAAUAUUUAAGUAAAAAAGCUUAAAUAAUAUGGAGUGACGAUAAGACCCUAUAAAGCUUUAUGGUAUACCUUUUUUAUACAAAUUACAUAUUAUUAACCUAUUAAAAAAGUAAUAUCAUUUUACUGGGGCGGUAAAAGUAUAUUCGCUUAACUGCUUUUAUUAUUUAAAACAAUAAUAAUUGAACAAUCCAUUGAUCCAUUAAUAAUGAUCAUAAGGCCAAGUUACUUUAGGGAUAACAGCGUAAUUUUUCUUGAGAGUCCUCAUCGAAAGAAAAGUUUGCGACCUCGAUGUUGAAUUAAGGAAGCUCUAAGGUGCAGCAGUUUUAGUAGGCAGAUCUGUUCGAUCUUUAAAUCUUUACAUGAUUUG